rnacentral:rRNA from 1 species
GUCCACGCCGUAAACGAUGAUAACUAGCUGUCCGGGCACUUGGUGCCUGGGUGGCGCAGCUAACGCAUUAAGUUAUCCGCCUGGGGAGUACGGUCGCAAGAUUAAAACUCAAAGGAAUUGACGGGGGCCUGCACAAGCGGUGGAGCAUGUGGUUUAAUUGGAGUCAACGCCAGGAAUCUUACCUGGGGAGACAGCAGAAUGAAGGUCAAGCUGAAGACUUUACCAGACAAGCUGAGAGGAGGUGCAUGGCCGUCGU